GGCUCGCGCAGGGGCGCUCACGUUUUUUGGCUGAGCCGUAUCUUGCUGGGUGGGACCGAGAGCAAGAAAGGACGGGGGGCAACCAUGCAUGGUACUUCUCGACCGUGUCUCCGAGGGACAGUUGAACGAGCGACUCAUGAAUGCUGCCGGGUUGGACGAGCCAAUAACUCGAACGCGUUCGGUCUGUUUUUUGAGCAAGAAUCACAGCGUUACCUUACCUUCACCAUGAUACGGACUCCAAGUUAUUAUGGCAGAGCGCGAGGAGAUUUAUCAUCAAUAUGAUGAUGGGAAUGGAAACCAGAAGCACGACCGACCGGGGUCUUCGUGGUCCAAUAUAAGAAAACCUUCAGUAAAAGUAGUAACGUAAGCAUGAGACUUUUUGGUAGUACCGGUGAACCAGAUGGCCGCGGCGAUGGAAUCUGGGACGGAGGACUCGUAGUAUCUCUCUAGAUCUGGCAAAAGCUAAAUACCCAUAACGUAACGUAAUUCGAAUGGGGGGCUGACCGCUGAGCCCACUCUGGCCUCGCGGGGCGGGCCCCUGUGGUUUCGAGCUGGAGCUGCCAUAGCUUAUGGCUAGAGCAAUGGGAGGGGGCCCCGGCAUAGAGAACAGUAAGGAUAACGAGCGCUCCGCCCGCUUCCGCUUGGCGGGCGGCAGGAGCAGCGGGCAAGUGCUUGGUAGGCCAACAGCCCAGUGAACCGGGCGGGGCACUCGACGAAAGGGGGGCACACUGAGCAAGUACGAUAAAUUUGCCCCGCUCCGCUUUAUUAAAAGCAAGGACCACUACGGGAGGUCAAACCUGAAGCUUGGACCUACGGAAGUCGGGGCUCGUCCCCGGUCAAUAUUGGAUCAAACAAUAGAGGGCCGUAGCACUUACCUAUUUUUUUUUAUUGAUUCAAGACAAGAGGGGAAAAGAUCGUAAAGUUCCCUACCGAGACAACAGACACUCUCAACGGAUCCUCCGCUUCUGGUUCUGGGCAUACCUCUUCUGUGCGUCUUUCUCGUGGCAGGAACAGAACAACAGGGAAAGACCCGGCCGACCUGCCCAGGGCUCGAGGGCGAGCUUUAUUUAAGAGAGAAUGGGGAGUGAAUCGAAAGGCUUCCGUUUUCGUUCUUGGUUUUUGGGGGCUUUCGGGCUCCUCUCGAUCUUAUUCGUAGUUGCUCAUGGGAAGGGGGAAGGAGUCUCAAUCAAUGGACAUUAAUGAACCAUCAUUGAUGGACGUUGCACAUGACACGAUCAAUUCGACUCAAGGUCCGGCGCUAAUAUAAGUUGCUUACUCUCCUAGUUAGAAGGAAAAAGGCAGGGCUUUUUUCGUAGUCAUAGUGGGCGGGUCUCAUGAUAUCUUUUCUAGGAUUCCUUAUCACGCACGGAGAUCUUUCCAUUGAUAGAGAUAAGAAAGAGGGCUCCCCCCUUGAACAAACUCUUAAAGGUUAGGUUACUACCUGCCUCUACGGAAGAGGUUUACUUUGUACCGCCCGGAGGUCAUAUAGAUAGAAACCCGGAGCGAUAAGAACGAAAGCCCUACCCACAGCUACAACUACUGGCGCUUCAAAAGGCUUAGAUUGAUUCUAAGGGCGCUACAGCAAGCUACCUUUUUUUAGGUCGUGUAAUAGGGAGGUGUCAGCCUCGAAAGCCUUUAGUACUUCGGUAGGGCGAGCAGCCCUUAAACAAAAAAAAAGGUUUGGAACUCUUCCCGUAUUUCUGCAUUUCAUUCUCUAUUCGGCCCGCCUCAAAAAAUAAUAAUAAAAAAGGAUAGGACUAUGGAUUCGAAGUCACUACGAAAGGGUCGGUCAAUAGCAUAGCUCUUUCUUUCCCCGGUCUCCUUUCGAAGGAAAGGCCUUCGCAUUCCUAAUUCGGAACCGGUAGGGGGCCGGACGGCUUUCUUUGCCCCAGCUUGGCUAAUCGCAUCCCCGCGCAACGACAUUCUUUGUGCGCCCCUUACCGUUCUCGCUCAGUCUUUGCAACGGCUGGGGAGGCAGUCGCAGAAGCGAAGCCUAUCGCCACGCCGACCAUCAAAUACGAGAUUGGGCCCCUUCUCAAAGAUUUGAUGGAAUGGCCCAGCCCACCCAAGAGCGCUUAUGUAAUAUGGGAACUCAUGGCUGGAAACAAUCCUUAUGGUUUUGAUAUCCGGUAGGAAUAAUCAGAAUCAAAGUCCAGGUUGGUUGGUGAGCCUAGUGAUAGGAGACUAUCUAGCUUGGUUCGGAGAGCACUUGUUGGGUUAAAGAUUUUUUUGUUGCUAAAUGUUACGGCCUAAAUGCUGAACUAUUGACCCUACUUGUUCGGAUGGGUGUUCACCCCAAAGUGUUCCCGGACCGCAUGCAUACAUACGUAAGUAACUUAGUGCAACAUGGCAAAUUAAAUUGAGAGGAAUCCGCAAAGAAAAUAAAAAGGGGUCAACAUCUUAUUUUGUAUUUUUUAGAGAUUGUCCUCGGCUCGGGCUGAGGAGUGUCCACAUGAGUUCGUUGAGGUGUCUACACAGGUUCGAAGACGCUCUUUUAUAUUCUGUCGAGAGUUCGGAUUGCUCCACCUAAGUAGAACGAAAAGAAGGAAUUGGAAAUUCGGGGAGCCAGAAGCUUCGCUUCCGGUAGCUUGCUUACUCUCCUAGUUAGAAGAAGGCUCUUUGGCUAAUUCUUUAGAUCUGGGUAGAGUCUCGCUCAGUAAAGAGAGUUGUAGAUUCUUAAGAUCAUGAUAAAGUCCCCUUUACUUUAUAUUCUAUUAGUAAAGCGCUAGCGCUACAACUAGCAUAGCAGCCUGCAGAAAAGGCUCAACGAGCCCCGUACUCCUAAGUUGGAGCAACAAGCAACGGAUUGAGCGCAUCUUUCCCCUUUCUAUUAGUAAGGUUGUCAAAAGGUAGGUUUCUGACUUAGUGCUUGUGCUAAGGUUUGAAGACGCUCGACCC
rnacentral:sRNA from 1 species